rnacentral:rRNA from 1 species
UUAAGUUAUUAAGGGCGCACGGUGGAUGCCUUGGCACUAGAAGCCGAUGAAGGACGUUACUAACGACGAUAUGCUUUGGGGAGCUGUAAGUAAGCUUUGAUCCAGAGAUUUCCGAAUGGGGAAACCCAACAUGAGUUAUGUCAUGUUAUCGAUAUGUGAAUACAUAGCAUAUCAGAAGGCACACCCGGAGAACUGAAACAUCUUAGUACCCGGAGGAAGAGAAAGAAAAUUCGAUUCCCUUAGUAGCGGCGAGCGAAACGGGAAGAGCCCAAACCAACAAGCUUGCUUGUUGGGGUUGUAGGACACUCUAUACGGAGUUACAAAGGACGACAUUAGACGAAUCAUCUGGAAAGAUGAAUCAAAGAAGGUAAUAAUCCUGUAGUCGAAAAUGUUGUCUCUCUUGAGUGGAUCCUGAGUACGACGGAGCACGUGAAAUUCCGUCGGAAUCUGGGAGGACCAUCUCCUAAGGCUAAAUACUCUCUAGUGACCGAUAGUGAACCAGUACCGUGAGGGAAAGGUGAAAAGCACCCCGGAAGGGGAGUGAAAUAGAACCUGAAACCGUGUGCUUACAAGUAGUCAGAGCCCGUUAAUGGGUGAUGGCGUGCCUUUUGUAGAAUGAACCGGCGAGUUACGAUUUGAUGCAAGGUUAAGCAGUAAAUGUGGAGCCGUAGCGAAAGCGAGUCUGAAUAGGGCGUUUAGUAUUUGGUCGUAGACCCGAAACCAGGUGAUCUACCCUUGGUCAGGUUGAAGUUCAGGUAACACUGAAUGGAGGACCGAACCGACUUACGUUGAAAAGUGAGCGGAUGAACUGAGGGUAGCGGAGAAAUUCCAAUCGAACCUGGAGAUAGCUGGUUCUCUCCGAAAUAGCUUUAGGGCUAGCCUCAAGUGAUGAUUAUUGGAGGUAGAGCACUGUUUGGACGAGGGGCCCCUCUCGGGUUACCGAAUUCAGACAAACUCCGAAUGCCAAUUAAUUUAACUUGGGAGUCAGAACAUGGGUGAUAAGGUCCGUGUUCGAAAGGGAAACAGCCCAGACCACCAGCUAAGGUCCCAAAAUAUAUGUUAAGUGGAAAAGGAUGUGGCGUUGCCCAGACAACUAGGAUGUUGGCUUAGAAGCAGCCAUCAUUUAAAGAGUGCGUAAUAGCUCACUAGUCGAGUGACACUGCGCCGAAAAUGUACCGGGGCUAAACAUAUUACCGAAGCUGUGGAUUGUCCUUUGGACAAUGGUAGGAGAGCGUUCUAAGGGCGUUGAAGCAUGAUCGUAAGGACAUGUGGAGCGCUUAGAAGUGAGAAUGCCGGUGUGAGUAGCGAAAGACGGGUGAGAAUCCCGUCCACCGAUUGACUAAGGUUUCCAGAGGAAGGCUCGUCCGCUCUGGGUUAGUCGGGUCCUAAGCUGAGGCCGACAGGCGUAGGCGAUGGAUAACAGGUUGAUAUUCCUGUACCACCUAUAAUCGUUUUAAUCGAUGGGGGGACGCAGUAGGAUAGGCGAAGCGUGCGAUUGGAUUGCACGUCUAAGCAGUAAGGCUGAGUAUUAGGCAAAUCCGGUACUCGUUAAGGCUGAGCUGUGAUGGGGAGAAGACGUUGUGUCUUCGAGUCGUUGGUUUCACACUGCCGAGAAAAGCCUCUAGAUAGAAAAUAGGUGCCCGUACCGCAAACCGACACAGGUAGUCAAGAUGAGAAUUCUAAGGUGAGCGAGCGAACUCUCGUUAAGGAACUCGGCAAAAUGACCCCGUAACUUCGGGAGAAGGGGUGCUCUUUAGGGUUAACGCCCAGAAGAGCCGCAGUGAAUAGGCCCAAGCGACUGUUUAUCAAAAACACAGGUCUCUGCUAAACCGUAAGGUGAUGUAUAGGGGCUGACGCCUGCCCGGUGCUGGAAGGUUAAGAGGAGUGGUUAGCUUCUGCGAAGCUACGAAUCGAAGCCCCAGUAAACGGCGGCCGUAACUAUAACGGUCCUAAGGUAGCGAAAUUCCUUGUCGGGUAAGUUCCGACCCGCACGAAAGGCGUAACGAUUUGGGCACUGUCUCAACGAGAGACUCGGUGAAAUCAUAGUACCUGUGAAGAUGCAGGUUACCCGCGACAGGACGGAAAGACCCCGUGGAGCUUUACUGUAGCCUGAUAUUGAAAUUCGGCACAGCUUGUACAGGAUAGGUAGGAGCCUUUGAAACGUGAGCGCUAGCUUACGUGGAGGCGCUGGUGGGAUACUACCCUAGCUGUGUUGGCUUUCUAACCCGCACCACUUAUCGUGGUGGGAGACAGUGUCAGGCGGGCAGUUUGACUGGGGCGGUCGCCUCCUAAAAGGUAACGGAGGCGCUCAAAGGUUCCCUCAGAAUGGUUGGAAAUCAUUCAUAGAGUGUAAAGGCAUAAGGGAGCUUGACUGCGAGACCUACAAGUCGAGCAGGGUCGAAAGACGGACUUAGUGAUCCGGUGGUUCCGCAUGGAAGGGCCAUCGCUCAACGGAUAAAAGCUACCCCGGGGAUAACAGGCUUAUCUCCCCCAAGAGUUCACAUCGACGGGGAGGUUUGGCACCUCGAUGUCGGCUCAUCGCAUCCUGGGGCUGUAGUCGGUCCCAAGGGUUGGGCUGUUCGCCCAUUAAAGCGGUACGCGAGCUGGGUUCAGAACGUCGUGAGACAGUUCGGUCCCUAUCCGUCGUGGGCGUAGGAAAUUUGAGAGGAGCUGUCCUUAGUACGAGAGGACCGGGAUGGACAUACCUCUGGUGUACCAGUUGUCGUGCCAACGGCAUAGCUGGGUAGCUAUGUGUGGACGGGAUAAGUGCUGAAAGCAUCUAAGCAUGAAGCCCCCCUCAAGAUGAGAUUUCCCAACUUCGGUUAUAAGAUCCCUCAAAGAUGAUGAGGUUAAUAGGUUCGAGGUGGAAGCAUGGUGACAUGUGGAGCUGACGAAUACUAAUCGAUCGAAGACUUAAUCAA